rnacentral:lncRNA from 1 species
AGACUUUUGGCAGCCCAACAGCACCAAAAGAAGUGGCCCAGGGCAGAACAAAGGAUGGCAGGAGGAGGGCCACAGAUUCAUCAGGCAGAGUGUGGAGGAUCAUCUGCAGGCCAAGGAAGGACUUCUUGGGUGCCAGAUAGGGAAGGAAGGGCCUUCCACUCUUCAUCGAUGGGGCCUAGAACUAGAGGGAGGUCCAAGGAUGAUGGCAGAGCUUCGGAGCACAUAGGCUGAGAAGCCAGAUCUGAUGACUUAGGGGCCAAACCCAGAGAGCUUUGGAAGCAGGUUCUGAAAUGGAUGAGACUAUCAUCUGAUUCUGCAGUGAGACCCUUUCAGGGCUAUCUUUGGGCUCAGCUAUGAGUCAUUGUUUCUCCAGGAUCCAAUCCAAGUCUGGACCCUGAGGCUUUUGUUGGACUCUCCAUACAAAGGACCUAGAACAGUGACUGUGAGAAAAGAAAGUCUAGAUCUAUUUCCAUUAUCAUCUUUUUUUUUUCAGGAUUGGCACCUGAGCUAACAUCUGUUGCCAAUCUUCUCCUUUUUUUUCUUUCUCCUCAAAGCCCCCCAGUACACAGUUGUAUAUUUUAGUUGUAGGUCCUUCUAGUUGUUUCAUGCAGGAUGCCACCUCAGCAUGGCCUGAUGAGCAGUGCUAGGUCGGCGCCCAGGAUCCAAACCAGGGAAACCCUGGGCCACUGAAGCAGAGCACACGAACGUAACCACUCAGCCAUGGGGCCGACCCGUAUAUUAUCAUCUUUAAUAGAUACAAUACUUUGGAAACAUCUUGAACUUUCUAGAGAUUUUGGAAUUUCCUCCCUCUUGGUUGUUUUUGUUACCUUUGUCUCCUUUCAUAUUUGAGCAAUGUUCAUGAUCCUUAUCUAUUUCAGAAUCAACAGAGGGAGGCCAUGUGCUGAAAACUCUGCAUUUUGCUAUGCAGCCAACAGGGAGGUGUGAAAGGAGAGUAGGGGGCUGAGACUCGGAAAGAAAGAGGUGGACCAGCAGGGUCGGCCCACAGGAGGUUCUCUGUUACCUGACGAGGGAGUUUCAGGUAGACAGGCAAUUUACAGUUGAGGGUAUCAGCCUCACAGCGUCAGGUUACUAUGCACAGUUUCCAUUUGAACUGCGCUCAGCACCCCUGCCAAGACGGCUGCUGGCUCCGUUUAAUGCACUAAUCAGCCUUUGUUAUGGAUAAGGUUUGCUAGGGUUUGCUCAUUGUUCCAGUUGCUUCCUUAAACAGAAGAAGGCACCAUUCUAACCCUCGCCUUCCCCAAGGCUGUCACCUGAGUUGGGCCGUGAUUAUCAUUAUAAUUCACUACGUUGUUUAUCUUAUAACUUGGAAGCAAAUUACAAAGCACUUUCUCCCCCAAAUCCCUGAC